rnacentral:pre_miRNA from 1 species
UCUUACAGAUUAGUAAAGAAAAUGGUUUCUUGAAAUGGAAUCUACUCCUGGUAAAGAUGCUGUGAA